AUCCUCCCUAUCCCUUUCCCAUUAGAUCUGAAUACCGAUCUUAUGGUCAAAAAGGAGGGAAAGUAAAUUGAAAGCUGGCCCUAACAUCAUUGCUGAGGCAAUUCCUGCAUUGAACUGGGCUAGCUUGAAACAUUU